rnacentral:rRNA from 1 species
CCUACGGGAGGCAGCAGUGAGGAAUAUUGGUCAAUGGACGAGAGUCUGAACCAGCCAAGUAGCGUGAAGGAUGACUGCCCUAUGGGUUGUAAACUUCUUUUAUAAAGGAAUAAAACGAGGCACGUGUGCCUUUUUGCAUGUACUUUAUGAAUAAGGAUCGGCUAACUCCGUGCCAGCAGCCGCGGUAAUACGGAGGAUCCGAGCGUUAUCCGGAUUUAUUGGGUUUAAAGGGAGCGUAGAUGGGUUGUUAAGUCAGUUGUUAAAGUUUGCGGCUCAAACGUAAAAUUGCAAUUGAUACUGGCAGUCUUGAGUACAGUUGAGGUAGGCGGAAUUCGUGGUGUAGCGGUGAAAUGCUUAGAUAUCACGAAGAACCCCGAUUGCGAAGGCAGCUUACUAAACUGUGACUGACAUUGAUGCUCGAAAGUGUGGGUAUCAAACAGGAUUAGAUACCCUUGUAGUC